rnacentral:lncRNA from 1 species
AGCGUGGCAACUGGUCGUCUUGCAACGUUUGUGAAUGUUGCAACAACAUCCUAUUGCCAUGAUUGACAACGGACAUCUAUGGUUGCAACAAAUGCCAACACUUGCAACGAGAAAUAGCCAUCGGUUGCAAGUACUUCUUGCAACGUACUUUUUUGCAACCAUUGCCAACGAAUGUGAUUUGGUGGUAACAUCUACUUGUUGCAACCAAAUUGGCUCUAUCGCAAUGUUUUCUCGUCCUUGCACAAGGGUUAGAAUUUAGUAGUGGUAACAUCUUAAGGUACUUGACUAUCGCUUUUAUAAGUUUCUCCUUGGUUCUGGCGUUCACAUAAAAUAAAGAGACAAACAUGUAUGAUUUGUAGCACCAAAUUAAUCAACCCAAUUAAUUCAACAUAUUUAGUCCUUUAAUCUUUGUUCUUAGUACUACCUUCGUGAUCCCACAC